GACGUAGGGCGCGAGCGUUGUCCGGAUUUAUUGGGCGUAAAGAGCUCGUAGGCGGCUUGUUGCGUCGACUGUGAAAACCCGCGGCUUAACCGCGGGCUUGCAGUUGAUACGGGCAGGCUAGAGUUCGGUAGGGGAGACUGGAAUUCCUGGUGUAGCGGUGAAAUGCGCAGAUAUCAGGAGGAACACCGGUGGCGAAGGCGGGUCUCUGGGCCGAUACUGACGCUGAGGAGCGAAAGCGUGGGUAGCAAACAGG
rnacentral:rRNA from 1 species